CAAUAGCGUAUAUUAAAGUUGUUGCAGUUAAAAGCUCGUAGUUGGAUUUCUGAGAGAGUGCCAAUGUCCGCUGAGGCGUGUGCAGCGGCGCUCUCCCAUCCUUCUGUUAACGUUUCUUGGUAUUCAGUUACUGGUUUCGGGCUCAGAUAUUUUACCUUGAGAAAAUUAGAGUGUUUCAGGCAGGCUUUGCGCCGGAAUACAUUAGCAUGGAAUAAUAGAAUAGGACUUUUGUCUCUUUUGUUGGUUUGAGAGACUUGAGUAAUGAUUAAUAGGGAUAGUUGGGGGCGAUUAGUAUUUAAUUGUCAGAGGUGAAAUUCUCGGAUUUGUUAAAGACUAACUUAUGCGAAAGCAUUUGCCAAGGAUGUUUUCAUUAAUCAAGAACGAAAGUUAGGGGAGUCAAAGAUGAUUAGAUACCAU
rnacentral:rRNA from 1 species